GGUGGCUCAUUGGUAGAGUACUUGCCUUGCAUGCAUGAGGCCCUGGGUUCGAUUCCUCAGCACCA
rnacentral:tRNA from 1 species